rnacentral:rRNA from 1 species
CUUAAUUAAUAUUAAGCAAUUCUAUAUAAUUAUAGAAAUUUUUAUGUUAGAACUAGUAACAAGAAUAAGACAUUCUCUAAAAUGCAAGUGUAAGUCAGCAUAGGACAAUACACUGACAAUUAACAUUAUUAAUAUGUUAGUAGUUACAUCAUCAAGAAAACUCUACUUAUUUUCAUGUUAACCUAACACUAGAGCAUUACAAGAAAGAUUAAAAGAAAAAGAAGGAACUCGGCAAACAUUAACCUCGCCUGUUUACCAAAAACAUCGCCUCUUGAAAAACAUAAGAGGUCCAGCCUGCCCAGUGACUUAUGUUCAACGGCCGCGGUAUCCUAACCGUGCGAAGGUAGCGCAAUCACUUGUUCUUUAAAUAAGGACUAGUAUGAAUGGCAUCACGAGGGUUAUACUGUCUCCUUUUUCUAAUCAGUGAACUAAUCUUCCCGUGAAGAAGCGGGAAUAAUUUUAUAAGACGAGAAGACCCUAUGGAGCUUUAAACUAAACAACAAAUAUCUACUUAUUCCAAAUUCAAGAAGAACCAAAAUUACUCAGAUAUUAUGAUUGCUAGUUUUAGGUUGGGGUGACCAUGGAGAACAAUACAACCCCCAUGUCGAAAUGAUUUUAAAAAUCUAAGCUGCGAGUAACAACUCCAAGCAUCAACACCUUGACGUCAAUUGACCCAAUUUUUGAUCAACGAACCAAGUUACCCUAGGGAUAACAGCGCAAUCCACUUCAAGAGCUCAUAUCGACAAGUGGGUUUACGACCUCGAUGUUGGAUCAGGAUAUCCUAGUGGUGCAGCCGCUACUAAAGGUUCGUUUGUUCAACGAUU